AUUCCAGCAGUCAGAUUCCUCUUGUAUCUGCCGAGCAGGUUAUGUUUACUAUGAUGAGAGGGGCAAGAAAAACCCUGACAGCAACAGUGAUCAGGACUGCCAGCUUCAGGUGGAUGAGCUCUGUGCUCCUGGAGAGGUCCGCCUCGCCUCCACGCGGCAGUGCGUUUCUCCCGAGCGAUACGACUGCUCUGCUGCUUGUGGACCUGCAGGCGGAGAGAUUAAUGCAGAGCUGGGCAUAUGUCACUGCAAGCAUUAUGUGUCUGCAGAGGAGCUCUGUGACCAAGCGUGUUUGCUGAGAGCCCUGCAGAUCUCCUUGAGAUUUGGCGUCAAUAGAGAGCUGCUUUUGAGGAUGGGUGAAAGAGAAGAGAGGGAAUUGACAAACAUUCUGGGUCCAGAUGAACAUGU